AGAUCAACCAGCAGCAAGAAAAGCUGGUUAUGCCUCUGAGCAGUGAGGAGUGAGAUAGAGGGAGGUGCAAGCCCUGCAUGGCUGGUUAUAUGUUCUCUGAUGGUAACAGUAUGGACUGAUCCUCUCCCAUUUGUCAUAAGAAUGGAGGUGAUUUCCUGUUUAUAUGUGUAAUCAAGGCCUUCUUCUCAUUCUGUCCCCUCUGAAUCUCUGCAGUUUGCAAAAAGAAAACCAACCCCUCCAUACAGAUUUAGAGGAAACACUUGAAACAGGAAAUUCUGGCACUUGGAUUGGGCAUUGAGAGAAGGUCAGAUACAAAGGGGAUGCAGUGGGGUGGAGAGUAAAUCAUUGUUUAUUGGCAUUUGACAUUCUGAAGAGCAGUGAAAAUGGUCAGCAUAAGCUACACCAGUGAGGGAGUUUCACAAAGAUGAGUGAGCAGCGUUACUGCCAGAGCAAUGCCCUGUGCCAACACCAAACAGGCCUUGCCAAUGGCAGGACUUGGCACUUCACACCUGAAGUCCUUUUUUCUGGCAUAUGCUGAUGCUGCUGGUGAAUCACACAGCGAUUCACAGAGCGGAUUUUCCCCCAUCAGAUAAAAUUUUGAACUGUUGAUUUAUGCACACACCCCUCUCUGGGAAGGUGAUGUCUCUAUCCUGCUGCCAACCAGUGCCUUCUAUGGUGAGUAUUAACAGUUUCUUGUUUGUGUCUUGAUGUGGAGGGGAAGAAGCAGGGAGACAGGAGAGUGAGAGCUCAGAGGAUGCAGGGAUGGGAUCCCAGGCUAGGGAGGCAAAGAGUAGGAGAAGACACACACUAUAAAUCUGGAGCCUAAGUUUAGGGUGCACAGUGGAAAGAAAGGCUGUGAUGCUGAGGUGCCCUGCUUGGGAAGGGAAUGAUGAAAUCUUUCUGUGUAACCCAACUAACCCAAAAGCCACUUUUAACACUUGAUCUACAUUGCAAACACAGAAAAAUGUUAC
rnacentral:lncRNA from 1 species